AGUGAACGCUGGCGGUAGGCCUAACACAUGCAAGUCGAACGGCAGCACAGUAAGAGCUUGCUCUUACGGGUGGCGAGUGGCGGACGAGUGAGGAAUACAUCGGAAUCUACUUUUUCGUGGGGGAUAACGUAGGGAAACUUACGCUAAUACCGCAUACGACCUACGGGUGAAAGCAGGGGAUCUUCGGACCUUGCGCGAUUGAAUGAGCCGAUGUCGGAUUAGCUAGUUGGCGGGGUAAAGGCCCACCAAGGCGACGAUCCGUAGCUGGUCUGAGAGGAUGAUCAGCCAAACGGGAACUGAGACACGGUCCAGACUCCUACGGGAGGCAGCAGUGGGGAAUAUUGGACAAUGGGCGCAAGCCUGAUCCAGACAUACCGCGUGGGUGAAGAAGGCCUUCGGGUUGUAAAGCCCUUUUGUUGGGAAAGAAAAGCAGCAGGUUAAUACCCCGCUGUUCUGACGGUACCCAAAGAAUAAGCACCGGCUAACUUCGU
rnacentral:rRNA from 1 species